GGGCCCGCACAAGCGGUGGAGUAUGUGGUUUAAUUCGAUGCAACGCGAAGAACCUUACCAGGGUUUGACAUCCUGCGAAUCUCUUGGAAACAGGAGAGUGCCUUCGGGAACGCAGUGACAGGUGGUGCAUGGCUGUCGUCAGCUCGUGUCGUGAGAUGUUGGGUUAAGUCCCGCAACGAGCGCAACCCACGUCUUUAGUUGCCAGCAUUUAGUUGGGCACUCUAGAGAGACUGCCAUGCACCACCUGUAUAGGGCGCUAAUGCACACUAUAUCUCUAUAGCUAGACCCUAUAUGUCAAGUCCAGGUAAGGUUCUACGGGUAUCAUCGAAUUAAGCCGCAUGCUCCGCCGCUUGUGCGGGGUCCCGUCAAUUC
rnacentral:rRNA from 1 species